rnacentral:lncRNA from 1 species
AUUUUCCUUUCCCAUUUUUAGGUGAUGGUUCCUCUCUUGAGGUUUGAGUGCUGUUUCCCCCAUGAUCCAACUCAAAGUCUUCACUGCAUUCUGCAAGGAGUGCAGUUCAUAAACAGUGUUGUGCGUCUCUCAAGUUGCACACCAGCAGGUCAAUUUGAAGAUUGACAUCUUCAUCAUAUUGAUCUUCUGGUCCAUGAAGACUGGCCUAUGUGUGACUUUGCCUACGGUUUCUUGACUCUGGCUGGCUGGCAUUUUAUACUCUCCAGUCUGUAGCUGCUGAAGUACCUGUAUUAAAUGUAAUCUUAGGUGUUGGCUUGAGACUACGGUAAAUGAUCUGUUUUAUUUUAAAAUGUAUCAGCGAGCUGUAUGCCUGGCAGAUAAAAAUACAAAUGGCCACUGUUCAUCUUUCAUUGUGAUAUCUUUUUAGAUUAACCCAUUAUUUAUAAAAUAUGGAGAUCUCUUGGGUGUGUGCACCGAUCAUGCCCCCUAUAAAUACUGACUGCUCCAUUUCAUGCUUCUCAGUCCGUUCAGCCUUUAUUCCUGUUGAAUAGUUUGGUGCAUUGAUCCUAUCGGACGGCCAGUCCAUCUUUGGCUGCACAGGAGGGGAGAACAGAGUCCCAUACUGUGGUACAUUCCGCACUGCUGAGAUGCUCUGAUUAUUCCAUGCACAUUAUUGGACAUUUGAGUGACGUUGAGUCAUUUCAACCUAAUGAACUGAUUGGAAGCUGACUCGCCCCGAGACCUGCUCUCUUCCCAUGCGCCUGUUGGGUAACCACCAGAGAAGACUGCUCAGGCAUGAAUGUAAGCCAGUAGAAAGUCUUUGUUAGCUGGUGG